rnacentral:misc_RNA from 1 species
CCCUCUCUUCCCGUGGGUGUCGUAAGAGGCGACUAAGGGAUAACACAGUUCCACUACCACCUUGGAAUUAAAAAAGCCGACCGGUGGCGGGAUAACCACCCAACUGCUGGCUUUGAAAUACACAGGCCGAAGACGGGCAGCAGAGUCUUCGGUGCGACAAAGCCAGUACUGCGGUCACCAACCCGCCUGCCCAGCGUGGUGACUAUGGGCAAAACACAUGAGUUCACAUUAUUUUUGGCGUCAACUUGUGGAGGCCAAUGUCCAGCAGUGGACUGUAUAG